rnacentral:rRNA from 1 species
AUUGAGCGCUGGCGGCAGGCUUAACACAUGCAAGUCGAGCGGGGUGAGGUGCUUCGGUACUGAUCCUAGCGGCGGACGGGUGAGUAAUGCUUAGGAAUCUGCCAUUUAGUGGGGGACAACAUUCCGAAAGGGAUGCUAAUACCGCAUACGUCCUACGGGAGAAAGCAGGGGAUCUUCGGACCUUGCGCUAAAUGAUGAGCCUAAGUCGGAUUAGCUAGUUGGUGGGGUAAAGGCCGACCAAGGCGACGAUCUGUAGCUGGUCUGAGAGGAUGGUCCGCCACACUGGGACUGAGACACGGCCCAGACUCCUACGGGAGGCAGCAGUGGGGAAUAUUGGACAAUGGGCGGAAGCCUGAUCCAGCCUUGCCGCGUGUGUGAAGAAGGCCUUUUGGUUGUAAAGCACUUUAAGCGAGGAGGAGGAUACCUGGAUUAAUACUCUGGGAUAGUGGACGUUACUCGCAGAAUAAGCACCGGCUAACUCUGUGCCAGCCGCCGCCGUAAGAC